GUUAAGCGACUAAGCGUACACGGUGGAUGCCCUGGCAGUCAGAGGCGAUGAAGGACGUGCUAAUCUGCGAUAAGCGUCGGUAAGGUGAUAUGAACCGUUAUAACCGGCGAUUUCCGAAUGGGGAAACCCAGUGUGUUUCGACACACUAUCAUUAACUGAAUCCAUAGGUUAAUGAGGCGAACCGGGGGAACUGAAACAUCUAAGUACCCCGAGGAAAAGAAAUCAACCGAGAUUCCCCCAGUAGCGGCGAGCGAACGGGGAGCAGCCCAGAGCCUGAAUCAGUAUGUGUGUUAGUGGAAGCGUCUGGAAAGGCGCGCGAUACAGGGUGACAGCCCCGUACACAAAAAUGCACAUGCUGUGAGCUCGAUGAGUAGGGCGGGACACGUGGUAUCCUGUCUGAAUAUGGGGGGACCAUCCUCCAAGGCUAAAUACUCCUGACUGACCGAUAGUGAACCAGUACCGUGAGGGAAAGGCGAAAAGAACCCCGGCGAGGGGAGUGAAAAAGAACCUGAAACCGUGUACGUACAAGCAGUGGGAGCACAGAGCAAUCUGUGUGACUGCGUACCUUUUGUAUAAUGGGUCAGCGACUUAUAUUCUGUAGCAAGGUUAACCGAAUAGGGGAGCCGAAGGGAAACCGAGUCUUAACUGGGCGUUAAGUUGCAGGGUAUAGACCCGAAACCCGGUGAUCUAGCCAUGGGCAGGUUGAAGGUUGGGUAACACUAACUGGAGGACCGAACCGACUAAUGUUGAAAAAUUAGCGGAUGACUUGUGGCUGGGGGUGAAAGGCCAAUCAAACCGGGAGAUAGCUGGUUCUCCCCGAAAGCUAUUUAGGUAGCGCCUCGUGAAUUCAUCUCCGGGGGUAGAGCACUGUUUCGGCAAGGGGGUCAUCCCGACUUACCAACCCGAUGCAAACUGCGAAUACCGGAGAAUGUUAUCACGGGAGACACACGGCGGGUGCUAACGUCCGUCGUGAAGAGGGAAACAACCCAGACCGCCAGCUAAGGUCCCAAAGUCAUGGUUAAGUGGGAAACGAUGUGGGAAGGCCCAGACAGCCAGGAUGUUGGCUUAGAAGCAGCCAUCAUUUAAAGAAAGCGUAAUAGCUCACUGGUCGAGUCGGCCUGCGCGGAAGAUGUAACGGGGCUAAACCAUGCACCGAAGCUGCGGCAGCGACGCUGAUGCGUUGUUGGGUAGGGGAGCGUUCUGUAAGCCUGCGAAGGUGUGCUGUGAGGCAUGCUGGAGGUAUCAGAAGUGCGAAUGCUGACAUAAGUAACGAUAAAGCGGGUGAAAAGCCCGCUCGCCGGAAGACCAAGGGUUCCUGUCCAACGUUAAUCGGGGCAGGGUGAGUCGACCCCUAAGGCGAGGCCGAAAGGCGUAGUCGAUGGGAAACAGGUUAAUAUUCCUGUACUUGGUGUUACUGCGAAGGGGGGACGGAGAAGGCUAUGUUGGCCGGGCGACGGUUGUCCCGGUUUAAGCGUGUAGGCUGGU
rnacentral:rRNA from 1 species